rnacentral:rRNA from 1 species
GUCGCACUAUAACUUUGUCGCCCAAGGGGUAGUGGUAGUUACAUGAUGACACCCCUAUAACUUUGUGAGAAAUCACAAGGAUUUGGACUCUGGGGGAAGUAUGGUCGCAAGGCUGAAACUUAAAGGAAUUGACGGAAGGGCACCACCAGGAGUGGAACCUGCGGCUUAAUUUGACUCAACACGGGGAAACUUACCAGGUCCAGACACAGUGAGGAUUGACAGAUUGAUAGCUCUUUCUUGAUUUUGUGGAAAGUGGUGCAUGGCCGUUUUUAGUUGGUGGAUUGAUUUGUCUGGUUAAUUCCGUUAACGAACGAGACCUAAACCUACUAACUAGUUAAUGGUAACUUGGACUCCAUAAUAAAUUUUCAUAUGGAGACCUCGAAAUUUAUCCAAACUUCUUAGAGGGACUCUUUAUACUUAGUGAAUGGAAGUUUUAGGCAACAACAGGU